AUGGAUAUUCCACUUGAGGUAUAUCAAAUCCUAAAAGAUGAUGCUGUGAAAGUGCUGUACUCAAUAUGCCAGCAAAUUUGGAAAACUCAGCAGUGGCCACAGGACUGGAAAAGGUCAGUUUUCAUUCCAAUCCCAAAGAAAGGCAAUGCCAAAGAAUGCUCAAACUACCGCACAAUUGCACUCAUCUCACACGCUAGUAAAGUAAUGCUCAAAAUUCUCCAAGCCAGCCUUCGACAGGACAUGAACUGUGAACUUCCAGAUGUUCAAGCUGGAUUUAGAAAAAGCAGAGGAACCAGAGAUCAAAUUGCCAACAUCCGCUGGAUCAUGGAAAAAGCAAGAGAGUUCCAGAAAAACAUCUAUUUAUGCUUUAUUGACUAUGCCAAAGCCUUUGACUGUGUGGAUCACAAAAAACUGUGGAAAAUUCUGAAAGAGAUGGAAAUACCAGACCAUCUGACCUGCCUCUUGAGAAACCUGGAUGCAGGUCAAGAAGCAACAGUUAGAACUGGACAUGGAAGAAACGACUGGUUCCAAAUAGGAAAAGGAGUGCGUCAAGGCUGUAUAUUGUCACCCUGCUUAUUUAACUUAUAUGCAGAGUACAUCAUGAGAAACGCUAGGCUGGAUGAAGCACAAGCUGGAAUCAAGAUUGCUGGGAGAAAUAUCAAUAAUCUCAGAUAUGCAGAUGACACCACCCUUAUGGCAGAAAGUGAAGAAGACUUAAAGAGCCUCUUGAUGAAAGUGAAAGAGGAGAGUGAAAACGUUGGCUUAAAGCUCAACAUUCAGAAAACGAAGAUCAUGGCAUCUGGUCCCAUCACUUCAUGGCAAAUAGAUGGGGAAACAGUGGAAACAGUGGCAGACUUUAUUUGGGAGUGGGGGCUCCAAAAUCACUGCAAUGUUGAUUGCAGCCAUGAAAUUAAAAGAUGCUUACUCCUUGGAAGGAAAGUUAUGACCAACCUAGAUAGCAUAUUCAAAAUCAGAGACAUUACUUUGUCAGCAAAGGUCUGUCUAGUCAAGGCUAUGGUUUUCCCAGUGGUUAUGCAUGGAUGUGAGAGUUGGACUGUAAACAAAGCCGAAUGCCAAAGAAUCGAUGCUUUUGAACUGUGGUGUUGGAGAAGACUCUUGAGAGUCCCUUGGACUGCAAGGAGUUCAUUGGAAGGACUGAUACUGAAGCUGAAACUCCAAUACUUUGGCCACCUGAUGGGAAGAGUGGACUCAUUUGAAAAGACCCUGAUGCUGGGAGGGAUUGGGGGCAGAGGAGAAGGGGAUGACAGAGGAUGA
rnacentral:lncRNA from 1 species